rnacentral:rRNA from 1 species
UGGGGAAUUUUGGACAAUGGGGGCAACCCUGAUCCAGCAAUGCCGCGUGUGUGAAGAAGGGCCUUCGGGUUGUAAAGCACUUUUGUCCGGAAAGAAAUCGCCCUGGCUAAUAUCCGGGGUGGAUGACGGUACUGGAAGAAUAAGCACCGGCUAACUACGUGCCAGCAGCCGCGGUAAUACGUAGGGUGCAAGCGUUAAUCGGAAUUGCUGGGCGUAAAGCGUGCGCAGGCGGGUUGUGCAAAGACAGAUGUGAAAUCCCCGGGCUUAACCUGGGAAUGGCAAUUUGUGCACUGCACGGCUAGAGUGUGUCAGAGGGGGGUAGAAUUCCACGUGUAGCAGUGAAAUGCGUAGAUAUGUGGAGGAACACCGAUGGCGAAGGCAGCCCCCUGGGAUAACACUGACGCUCAUGCACGAAAGCGUGGGGGAGCAAACAGGAUUAGAUACCC